GACAAAUGGAAGAGAUGAUGAAAAUGAUUUAGAAAAUGAGUCGGACACAUAGAGAACCGUGAACACUUAGGGUACAUAUUUUUCAACUUUUAAUUUGUUUAAUUUCUUAUCGGUGAUAUAUAUCUAACUUUACUUUUAUGUAAUUUGUAGGUUUGGAAUUCUUUGAAUUUGGCAUCUCUAGCAAGAAUUAAGAGAUGAUGUAGUUUUUUUCCUUUUCAUGAAUUGUUUUGAACAUUUUAAACAACUUGUAAUUUUUGUUAUACAUUCAAAUUUAGUAUUUAAUUUUAUAAAUUGCAAAUUUUUU
rnacentral:lncRNA from 1 species